rnacentral:rRNA from 1 species
UACGUAGGGUGCAAGCGUUGUCCGGAAUUAUUGGGCGUAAAGCGCACGUAGGCGGCAUUGCAAGUCGGAUGUGAAAUCUUAUGGCUUAACCAUAAAAGUGCAUCCGAAACUGCAGUGCUUGAGUACUUAAGAGGAUCGCGGAAUUCCCGGUGUAGAGGUGAAAUUCGUAGAUAUCGGGAGGAACACCAGUGGCGAAGGCGGGUCUCUGGGCCGAUACUGACGCUGAGGAGCGAAAGCGUGGGGAGCGAACAGG